GUUUAUGUCCCCCCCUUCCCCCAUUCCACAUGUUGAAAUCCUACCUCCCAAGGCAAAGGUGUCAGAGGAUGGGACCUGUAGGAGGUGAUUAAGUCAUAAGGGUGGAGCCAUCCUAAAUGGAGUCAGUGCCCUCAUAGAAAAGCCUGAGAGAGAAUUUCACCCUUUUUGCCCUGUAGUGAGUCCACAACAGGAAGUUGUCUAUGAGCCAGGAAGUGGGAUCCAAUCAAACACUAAAAGCCUGGGUGCCUUAUAUAUAAUCUUGCGCUUUCAGCUUCUAGACUGUGAGAAAUACAUUUCUGUUGUUUAUGAGUCACCUAGUCCAUAGUAAUCUGUCAUGUCAGCCCAAACAGAUGAAGACACUAGGAAACAAGGAUGAUUGGGACAAAAUGGCAAAGACACAAUGAACCCAUCUGGGGAGGGCAACUCGGAAAAGGCUGGACACGCUCAUCAUCCCAGUGGAUCCUCAGCACAGUGCUGUGUGAGCUCGGUUAUGAAAACAAACAGCUGGCCAGCUUCCCCAGAGCCUCUCCUCCUCAUAGUCCUCCUUCCCCUAACACCGAGGGGUUGUGGGUUAGAAACUAGUACUACUUUCAUUUUUCAAAAGUGUUUUCCCUAAGGGUCUUA
rnacentral:lncRNA from 1 species